rnacentral:lncRNA from 1 species
GUCUUCCGGAGCCUCCGGUCGCGGGUCUAAGAGGACUAGGGCGGGAGCGGCGCGGAAGAAAGAGAGGACUGCGUUUUGGGGCGUUCUGUCAGAGGGGAAGGACGUGUGGAUUGGAGUCAGACUGCACUCCCGCCCUAUUUCUGCAAGUAGAACUCACUGCCUUUAGAAACGGUCUUCUGAGGCUCUGUUGGGAGGCUCUAACUGUAUUACAGAGGACACAUUUUUGUUUGUUUUUAUGUGAAACAUUCAGAAGUUGCUUGCAUCAAGUGCUUUACAAGUACACUGGUUUUCAAACUUUUAAAGUUGAGGAACUGUUUUGAUUUUUGUAAAAAUAGAACUUUACUUGGAAGCCCAAGGUCGCUUAGAAACUAGUACUCUCAGAACAUGGAGUGGAAGAGGUGAUCAUGGUAGCAACAGACUGAGGAGUGAAUUUGAACUUGAGUUUUGUCUUGCUGUUUUUCAUUGAUGGAACCCAACUGGAAAUCAGAAUACAAGGGCACUCGAUUAAUUCAGUUCACAGAGGACUUCUUCCUGUGGCACGGAGCAUGGUGGGGAAAGGUACAAAGUAGACCUCGAGAAACAAACAGCAUGGUGACCAGUCACAAAAUGUAUACAGAAAAUUAACAGAUUUUUUUUCCUUGAAGAGAUCAAAUCUAAAAAACAGUAUAAAAAUAAGAAUGUGCAGGAUCUAUAUAAAGAAAUCUAUACUCUACCAAGGUACCUGAAAAAAUACACAGAUAAAUGAAGGCUUAUGGCUUGAUUUUAGGUAUAAAAAGUUAAUGUUUAAAGACAUCCAUUUAUCCACCUGGAUAAACAUGGUCAUUAUUUUUUAAAUCAAAGUCCCAAGAGCUCCAUUUCACAACCUGAAACUAUUUAAAAUCAUGUUAGAAAAUUAAAUAGUAAGAAAAUACUAGAAAAAAUCAGAAGAAUGAGUAGAAUCAUAGAGCUACAAUAAUUAAAAUAGGAUGGUUUGGGGGGAAGAUCAGUAAGUUAGAUCAAUGAAAUUGCAUAGAAAAGCAAGAAAUUGAUUAUUAUAUUUCUAUGGGCACGUGAAAACUGUGGCAUUUCUAAUCACAGGGGAACUUAUAGAUUAUAAGAUAAAAGACAUUAAGCCUAUUGGAUAACUAGUUUAGAGAAAAGAAAAUUCAGUUACGAUCUGACCUCAAGAAAAAAAUGUAAAUAGAUUAAAUAUGUAUAUGUAAAAUCAAAAAAAUCAUGAAUAUAUAAAUAAAAUUCGAUAAGUGUUUCUAUAUUUCAGAUGUGGGUCUAUACGGUAAUUUUAUAAUAAAUCAAUUAAAAGAUAUACUAAAAUCAUUUUAACUGGGUGAAAACCAUUUUCACUCACUUAAUUUUUUAAAAUGGUGAAAUCCACUCAUAAACAGUAGCCAGAAAUCAAAGUCAGAAGGCUAAUAUGUAUUUAAAAAGCUAAAGGGUUAGCUUUAGGAGUGUCCAACCUAUGGAGUCACACAGGACCAUAGUUAAUAAUGGCCUCAUACUUGGUUUGAUAUUCUGCUGUCACAGUCUUGAAAUCCUUAACAAUUUUUGAACAAAGAGCCCUGGAUUUUCGUUUUGCACUCAGUCCUGCAAAUUAGGUAGCGAUCCUAGUUAACCUUCCCAUAUACUGAGUGAAAUACAAACUAAAACCUGAAUUUAAAAAUUGUUUUUAGGUUGAAAACAGUAAAAUAAAAACACUUAUUUUUUUUACUUGACAACAUCAAGAAUGCAGAAAAAGAAACACUCAUAUACCUUUAGUUCAACCAUUUGCAAAUACUCAGGAAUCAUAUAUCAAAAUUUAAAGUGAAUACUUUUUAUUGAGCAUUUUUUUCUACAGGAAUACAUCUACAGGAACUAAUUGAACCCAUACAUAAAAAUCAGGAUAUUUAUCACAGUAUUGCUAAUAAUAACAAAAAUAUGUGAACCAAUCUAAAUGUUCAUAAAAAUUGGUUAUAUAUUGAAGGAUACAUUUCUGUAGUUUCAUUUAUGCUUCAACCUUAAAUGUGAUAUAAAUAUACGUAUAAACACACACAUUUGAAAUGUAAAGAUGUACAGUAGAGUGAUAUGGAAAGAUACUCAUGAUUCAUUGUUACGUGGAAAGCCAACUAUGUAACAGCAAAGAUAGUGAAAUGCUACAGGUAGCUGUACAGAACUUUUUAUAUAUAGGUAUAAAAAUGUGUGAAAAGAAAAACAAAGAUAUUUUUAUCCAGAAUUACAGGAACUUUUAUUUUCUUGUUACAAUUUUAGAUAGCCUUCCUUUUAACAAUGGGCUUUUAUUUCUAUUAAAAUAGAAAAAUAAAUCAGCUUGAACUAAUAAGAACUGGGUCAUUUAUGGCUGUGAUCAUUUAAAUAUUUAUAUAAAUAAUUUCCAAAAAUAGUUAUUUUUUUUAUAAAACAAAGGAAUUAAUGUAAACAGUUUGGAAAGAAAAGUUAAAUAACUUUAAAAAGUUAUGUUGUUGCAAACAUGUCAAUUAUACAGCUAAAAAUUGGGGGGUGUAAGUAUAAGUAUACUAGUUUCCUAAUCUUAAAAAUCAGCAAUUACAUCUAUACUGCUUCAGCCCUGACACAGAUAGGUAGAAGAAUAUAGGUUUCAUUUUAUUUUUGCAAAGCAUAAAGGCAGUCAAAUUUACAAAGAUUUGGAGAAGCAUAGAAAAUAAUUUCAGAUGGUACAUGAUUAUGAGAUAGAAACGUGAGGUAGUAUGUCUUGAACUGGAGUGAAGAAUAGUACUUAAUGUGAAAAAUAAUAAUUUAUACAGAUUCAAAUUCAAUUAAAAAGGAAACCAUAUCACACUUAAUGAACUGCAGAAAAUUUUAGUCUUUCAUCUAAAAUGAGAACACACAGAAUGUAGCUGAAUCCAGACGAUGUAUUACAGUCAUUGAGUUAAUUCUCUAUGCUGAUUAAAAUAAAGACAUAAUCUCCCAUAAAUUGCUUCCUGAUAUUCCUUUAAGUUGUUUUACUCGAACGAGAUUUAAGAUGGAGAAAUAUAGCAGACAUCUAAAUGCAGGACCACCUGCAGGUUGAGUCUCAGAAGUCUGAUGAGUAGAGAUACUUUAGUCAGGUGUCUGAUGCAAAACAUCACAUUUCUAUCAUCAUUUUCAACUGGAAAGGGGCUUCUUGGAGGUAAUCUAGGACUGUAUGGUAGUCAGAAUGAAAAGUAACAUAAUACAAAUUUCAUCUGUAUAUUUGAACUAUUAAAAUUUACUUUAAAAAAUUAUUGGAUAUUUAGUCAUCUUGCCAAAAUCACUUAAAGUAUAUUAAGUUAUUUUAUGCACUCUUUGGAAACAUUUUUACCUAUGUAAUCAAAGUGGUAGAAUAAGAAACAUUAUAUAAAAAUUCAAAAGUUGAAUCCACUUUGUCUGUAUUCAUUAUAUUGACAGCUGGAUAAAAUAAAAUAAUUAAAGAACUUAUGCCUUUCAGAACAUUAACUAACAGUUUCUAACUGCUUCAGUUAUUCAAGAUAAGUUCUGGAUAUCUAUACAGCAUAGUGACCAUAGGUAGCAAUACUAUUUUAUUGUUAAAAUUUAUUAAGAUAGUAGGUCUUAUGUUAAUUCUUUCUAACACACAAACACACACAGAUUAAUAAAAAGGAAGUGGGAAGAAACUUUGGGAGGUGAUGGAUAUUUAUAACCUUGAAGAUGGUGAUGCAUCAUGGAUGUAUACUUACUGCUAAACUUAUGAAGUUGUAUAUGCUAAAUACGUACAGCGUUUUACAUGUCAAUCAUAUGUCAAUAAAGUGGUUUAAAACAAAAACAGAAACAAAUCUACAUUAAUUGUAAAUGCUUAUAAGUUAUCAAAAGCAAUACUGAAUUAACGAGUGGUGAUUUGUGAAAAAUGUUUUUUUUUAAUGAAGCUGACCCUAUACAUAGGUGGAUGCUUUAGUGACAAAAUUUGUUGAUGCUUGCGAAAACUUCAGACGAUAGGUGGCCAAAUGAAUAAAAAACAAAACUGCUGCUGAUUUUCUUUAGUGGGUUUCUGUAGAUCAUAAGCAUAAGGAGUAGCCGUUGUGUUUUUUAAAAAAUUCAGAUACUCAUACUGAAUGGGCAAAAGCUGGAACCAUUCCCCUUGAAAACAGGCACAAGACAAGGAUGCCCUCUCUCACCUCUCCUAUUCAGCAUAUUGGAAGUUCUGGCCAGUACAAUGAGGCAAGAGAAAGAAAUAAAGGGUAUUCAAAUAGGAAGGAGGAAGUCAAACUUUGUUUGCACAUGACAUGAUCCUGUAUCUAAAAAACCCUAUAACUCAGCCCCAAAGCUUCUUAAGGUGAUAAGCAACUUCAGCGAAGUCUCAGGAUACAAAAUCAAUGUCCAAAAAUUGCUAGCAUUUCUAUACACCAACAACAGUCAAGCAGAGAACCAAAUCAUGAAUAAACUCCCAUUCACAGCUGCCACAAAAAGAAUAAAAUACCUACGAAUACAGCUAACCAGGGAAGUGAAGGACCUUUUCAAGGAAAACUACAAACCACUGCUCAAAGAAAUCAGAGAUGACACAAAUGCAAAAACAUUCCAUGCUCGUAGAUAGGAAGAAUCAAUAUCGUGAAAAUGGCCAUAUUGCCCAAAGCAAUUUAUAGAUUUAAUGCUACUUCCAUUAAACUACCAUAGACAUUCUUCACAGAAUUAGAAAAGAACUAUUUUAAAAUAUGGAACCAGAAAGGUGCCAGAAUAGCCAAGACAAUCCUAAGCAAAAAGAAGAAAGCUGGAGGCAUCAUGCUGCCUGACUUCAAACUAUCUACAAGGCUACAUUACCCAAAACAGCAUAGUCCUGGUACAAGACUAGACACAUAGACCAAUGGAACAGAGUAGAGAACCCA